GUCACAAAGGCAUAGUGACAAAAGCUUGAGAGGCAGAAUAGCUCCCUUAGCUUAUGGAUUGGAGUCUGCUCCUGAGGAAGAAGGUGUGGAUCUUGGAGCAGGAAUAUGAUUCUGGGAAAACCGGUCUAUAAGAAGAAGGAUAUUUGGAUCUGUCUACAGAGAAAGAAAGAGAUGCAUGCAAGCCUGAGGAUUCUGUGUCUCUAAGAAGCUUUCAGCUGAGACUCCAAGAUCUGGUCCUCCUGAUAGCAAAAGCAUGUACAAUGACAGGGAGCCAGACUUAAUUCCACUUUUUAAGAAAGGCAAGCAGGGUGUGAGGAGAGAUGCUAGAGGAACAGAGAAAGCCAGUAAUGUGGAUAAGGCAUUCCAGCAAUUGCUAAAAGGAGAAGCUUAGAAUAACUAAGGUUUUGAAGAAAGAAGCAUCCUACGUUGUCAACACAGAGGAGUCAAGCUUGCCAGUUAAACCUCUAAAGAAAUGGAAGAACCACUCUGGAUAUUUAAUGAUCUUAAAAUCUGAUUCUGUGGGAAUCACUUUGAUUCAUGGUGGGAUUGGAUGUAUCACAGAGACCCUACUACACUCAAGAGCUUCUGAAGAGGACGAGCCAUAGCCACACACCCUGUCUACUCUGUGAAACAUGCAGAUGCUUAAAACUUCUGGAGUCGGGAGAUUGUUUAAUGUGCACCAAGCACCAUCAAAAGUACAACAAAGCACCCGCUUGCUGCACAGUGAUGCUUGAGGAACGACUUCCGUCAGGAUGUCCCUCCCCAGGGAAUAUAGUCAGCACCAUUCUGAUUUUCCUUCUGGAACCGCAUCGCCUGCUGGGUAAUCAGUUUGUGCGCGCUGCAAGGGAAGACCUCAGCAAAAGGAGUCCAGUGCAGCUAAGGUGCCAGGAUGCAGUGUGACCGGCUGCCUAAUGUUCCUACUGCCAUGCCUCCCUUGCCAUGGUGGAUUGUAUCCUUUCUUGAAUGCCAACACGUCGUAUCCGACUGUUCACAAAUAGGAAGAGACUCACUCAUAACACCUGUGUGGAGGUCAACGCUGUGUAGUGCGUGCUACAGAAGAGCUAGCACAAAACAAGGCAUCAUGUUGCUCAUGUCAUCACUGGAUCUGGGCCUUGUAGAAGCUGAAAGCACUGUCUAGCAGAAAGGAGAGACCUGUUCCCCAUACUAAUUCACACCCAAUCUGGUUUCAUAGACACUGGUUAACAAAAAAGCCAACCAUAUUAUAAUAAAACAGAACCUUAAAAGGAAAGGAGAAGA
rnacentral:lncRNA from 1 species